rnacentral:rRNA from 1 species
GUGGGGAAUAUUGGACAAUGGGCGGAAGCCUGAUCCAGCCAUGCCGCGUGUGUGAAGAAGGCCUUUUGGUUGUAAAGCACUUUAAGCGAGGAGGAGGCUACCGAGAUUAAUACUCUUGGAUAGUGGACGUUACUCGCAGAAUAAGCACCGGCUAACUCUGUGCCAGCAGCCGCGGUAAUACAGAGGGUGCAAGCGUUAAUCGGAUUUACUGGGCGUAAAGCGCGCGUAGGUGGCCAAUUAAGUCAAAUGUGAAAUCCCCGAGCUUAACUUGGGAAUUGCAUUCGAUACUGGUUGGCUAGAGUAUGGGAGAGGAUGGUAGAAUUCCAGGUGUAGCGGUGAAAUGCGUAGAGAUCUGGAGGAAUACCGAUGGCGAAGGCAGCCAUCUGGCCUAAUACUGACACUGAGGUGCGAAAGCAUGGGGAGCAAACAGGAUUAGAAACCCUUGUAGUCC